rnacentral:tRNA from 1 species
GCAUUGGUGGUUCAGUGGUAGAAUUCUCGCCUGCCACGCGGAGGGCCGGAGUCGAUUCCCGGCCAAUGCA